GAUGAACGCUGGCGGCGUGCCUAAUACAUGCAAGUCGAGCGAACAGAUGAGGAGCUUGCUCCUCUGACGUUAGCGGCGGACGGGUGAGUAACACGUGGAUAGCCUACCUAUAAGACUGGGAUAACUUCGGGAAACCGGAGCUAAUACCGGAUAAUAUAUUGAACCGCAUGGUUCAAUAGUGAAAGACGGUUUUGCUGUCACUUAUAGAUGGAUCCGCGCCGCAUUAGCUAGUUGGUAAGGUAACGGCUUACCAAGGCAACGAUGCGUAGCCGACCUGGAGGGGUGAUCAGCCACACUGGAACUGAGACACGGUCCAGACUCCUACGGGAGGCAGCAGUAGGGAAUCUUCCGCAAUGGGCGAAAGCCUGACGGAGCAACGCCGCGUGAGUGAUGAGGGUCUUCGGAUCGUAAAACUCUGUUAUUAGGGAAGAACAAAUGUGUAAGUAACUAUGCACGUCUUGACGGUACCUAAUCAGAAAGCCACGGCUAACUACGUG
rnacentral:rRNA from 1 species